AGAGUUUGAUCCUGGCUCAGGAUAAACGCUGGCGGUAUGCUUAACACAUGCAAGUUGGACGAGUUUAAAUUUUUCUAAAUUUAAACUAAGUAGCGGACGGGUGAGUAACAUGUAGGAACCUACCUUUAGGAGAGGGAUAACCAUUGGAAACGAUGGCUAAUACCUCAUAAACUGUGGAGUAAAAAGUGAAUAAAACUGCCUAAAGAGGGGCUUGCAUCUGAUUAGCUUGUUGGUAAAUUAAUAGUUUCCCAAGGCAACGAUCAGUAGUUGGUCUAAGAGGAUGAUCAACCACACUGGGACUGAGACACGGCCCAGACCUCUACGGAGGGCAGCAGUGAGGAAUUUUCCGCAAUGGGCGAAAGCCUGACGGAGCAAUACCGCGUGGAGGAUGAGGGCUUGUGAGUCGUAAACUCCUUUUCUUUGUGAAGAGACAAGACGGUAACAAAGGAAUAAGCAUCGGCUAAUUCCGUGCCAGCAGCCGCGGUAAUACGGGAGAUGCAAGCGUUAUCCGGAAUUAUUGGGCGUAAAGAGUCUGUAGGUGGCUUUUUAAGUCUGCUGUUAAAUCUUAAGCUUACCUUGAGAAAGCGGUAUGAAACUAGAAGCUUGAGUUAGUAGAGUAAAGGAUUCUCGUGUAGUGGUGAAUGCGUA
rnacentral:rRNA from 1 species